GUAAUUUUGCACAAGCAGAGCUGCUUUCUUACGGCCUCUGUUGCCCCCGCAGGUCGGCGAGCCGCAGCGGGAACCCAGCAGCCUCGGCCCUCGCUGUCCCUCGGUUCGGAGCCCUGUCCUCGCCGCGGGCCUGCUCGGCCUCCGCCUGCCGCGGCUCCCCGGGGCCUGACUCGGAUGCCAUGGCAUUUUAUGUUCACAGCCACCCAUCACCCUUUGAACUUCCUUGGCACCCAUCCCUCUAGAAGGCGAGUGUUGUCUUCAGGCUCUCACCGGUAAGCAGCACAGAGCUGAGCAAAACCAUCUCAGUGGGAUCCAUCUCAAGUUAAGACUCUAGCCAACCCGAGAAAAUUCGGCCACACAAGAGAGAUAGGAUCCCAGCCUUCAGAAUUUAUUGCAAAAUUUUGGAUUCAUUUUAUGGAAAUCAAAAAACAGGUGGGAAUAUGGGAAGCCUGGAGACACAAAUGACCUGACAGAAACAA
rnacentral:lncRNA from 12 species